CCAGUGAUGAAUCUGAUUUUUAUGAGGCUGUGGCUGCUCCAAAAUCAGAAUCCGCUACUGUAGAGCCUGGCAAGCUGGAUGUGGGAGCCACGGAGGGCCACGACCUGCAGCACAUCAGCAGGCAAAAGAUGCCCACAGGCUCCCCUGAGGAUAGCCUGAGUGUAAAAUCUCCACCACCAAGUGAGGAAGACAAUGAUGAUGCCCAGUUUGUCCUGAGGAUGGCCUGGUUUUAAGAGGCUCACCACAACACAGAGAUGAAGCAGAAGAAAAGAAGAUGAUGAUGAUGCUAAGGAUGCCCACGUAACAGCUUGGAGCGACAACGACUUGACGCUGGAGAGUAUUAGUGACGAGGAGAUUGAUCCAGCUUAAAGGGAGCUCCCGGGGUGAGUGACGGAGGCGGGAUCGGACCCUGGCAGUCUGACGGCAACACCUGUGUUCCUCUGCACU